rnacentral:rRNA from 1 species
GACGAAGGGGGCUAGCGUUGUUCGGAAUUACUGGGCGUAAAGCGCGUGUAGGCGGUUAUCCAAGUCGGGGGUGAAAGCCUUGAGCUCAACUCAAGAAAUGCACUCGGUACUGGGUGACUAGAGGACCGGAGAGGAUAGUGGAAUUCCCAGUGUAGUGGUGAAAUACGUAGAGAUUGGGAAGAACACCAGUGGCGAAGGCGGCUAUCUGGACGGUUUCUGACGCUAAGACGCGAAGGCGUGGGGAGCAAACAGG